CGUCCAGACUCCUACGGGAGGCAGCAGUGAGGAAUAUUGGUCAAUGGGCGCGAGCCUGAACCAGCCAAGUCGCGUGAGGGAAGACGGUCCUAUGGAUUGUAAACCUCUUUUGUCGGGGAGCAAAAGACGCCACGUGUGGCGUUCCGAGAGUACCCGAAGAAAAAGCAUCGGCUAACUCCGUGCCAGCAGCCGCGGUAAUACGGAGGAUGCGAGCGUUAUCCGGAUUUAUUGGGUUUAAAGGGUGCGUAGGGGGAUUUUUAAGUCAGCGGUAAAAUGUCCGGGCUCAACCCGGGCCGGCCGUUGAAACUGGGGAUCUUGAGUAGGCGAGAAGUAUGCGGAAUGCGUGGUGUAGCGGUGAAAUGCGUAGAUGUCACGCAGAGCUCCGAUUGCGAAGGCAGCAUACCGGCGCCCGACUGACGCUGAGGCACGAAAGCGUGGGGAUCGAACAGGAUUAGAUACCCUCGUAACA
rnacentral:rRNA from 1 species